rnacentral:lncRNA from 1 species
GUUGUAAAUAAGAAAGUGUUGUUUUAAAUUACAAAAUAUGAAAAAGUUUAAGUUAAAAGUAAAAAUUUGAAAUGGGUUAAAAUGUAAAAGAAAAAACUUUAAGGUUUAAAGUGUAAAAUGAAGUUUUUUUGUUUGAAAAAGUUUCAAAGCAUGAUGUACAAGUCAUGAUGCACAAAAAAAAUAUCAACUAUAUUGUAAUGUCGCAUUAAGUUUCUGGAAAUCACAAUUUUUAAGUAAUUUAGACCAUCUCCAAUUGUAUGUCUGUGGACGUCCUUUGAGUGAGAGGUGACAUGCCCUACCAAAAGCCAUUGUUAGAGUUUGAUGCAGAACUUGCUUUAUUAUUAUAUUUUUUUUGGUCUUAAUUUAAUUUGUUGUACAUUAAUAAUUCGUACACUUUAGUGAGUUGUAUACCACAUUUAUUUCUUAGUGUCAAAUCAUUUUAAAUUUUUAAAAAUAGUAACUUAUGUAACAUCUUAUACAAUACUUUAAUUUAUAUAAAUUACUAGGUUAGAACCCUAUGUAUUACACGAGUUAAAUAAGUGUAAUUUUAUAUAUUAAAUAAUAAAAAGUUAUAUCUUUAUGAAUCUCGUAUAUUGUACGGGUCAAAUAAAUAUAAAUUUAUAUAUCAAAUAAUAAAAAAAAGUUAUAUUUUUAACAACCAUGUGUAUUACACAUAUUAAAUAAAUGUAAUAUUGUAUACUAAAUACUAAAAACGUCGUAUCUU